CAGAGUUUGUUGUUCUUUUCCGCCCGAAUGCUCUCCACGUGUUGAUCAUCGCUUCGGCUUCUCUUUGUCGUUCCCCAUUUUUCCUCAUCCGCACAUUGGAAUGACGUCCAUCCUGUCCACGCGUCGAUCAUCAUCGAAGGGCUUUGCUUCGACUCCUUCUUGACUUUUCCUCUGACUCUCCUUCACUUUGCUGUCUUCUCUCAUCUCUCACUCUUUCUCAUGCUUUCCUUCUCUACUGCAGAAGCCUUCCAUCCAUUCCGAUCUCUCCCACAAACCCUUAUGUUGCCAAAGCUUGCCUUCUCUCGCUUUCUGAUCUCGACUUCUCUCUCUCACUUUCCUGUUGAAAAAAACCAACCCAGUAGAAAUUUCUCCAGUUCUCUCUUCAAAAACUACAAAUCACAACGGCCAAACUCCAAACAAAAAAAAAAAAAAAUCGAAUUCGAAAAGCCAUUUGGUUUUCUUCGAUUCCUACACUGUCCAAACCUUUGCCUUGCGACUUGGAUCGAGCUAGGGUUUUCUUUGAGCCGCGAUCGCACCUUUGUCCUCCGCCGUCUGUCACUAUAUGCGUUGCAUGUGUUACAUGUGUGAAAAUGCCCUGCCUCUUCAAAUCAGUCUACAUCCCUACACUUAUGUCGCUCUCGAACCUCAAUUUCUUUCGCUCUUAAACGCCGCCUUCUCUCCCUCUCCGACCUUGCGAUAUUUGUCUCACAAAUUACCAACCGCACUUUCUGGCUGAAAAACCACCCAACCUGUAGUAGUUUCUUGGGUUCUUCAGUUGGAUGUGGAGAAAUUUUGUACCCAGGCGUUUCCUGGUGAGUUUUACGUCUUUCUCAAUGUAAGUGUUUUAAUUUCUUUUCUGUGAUUUUGGAUUUGUAGAUGGGUUUUCCGUUCAAAUUUCUUUUUUGUGAUUUUGGGGGUUUUGUUUGUACCCUCGGAUCCUGCUUGUGGGUGUUUAAUUUGGCUGCAUAUGGUUGUUUAAUUCAGUUUUGUUUUCAGUUUUUCAUUUUUUUUGGGGCUUUUGUAACUCAAGGUGAGCAAUUUUAGCUUCUCUCUUUGGGGCUAUUGUGGAACCAAAUUUUAAAUUUUUAUGAUUAUGAAAGUUGAAAACGACACUUUGUUUAGUUUCCAUUUAGUACAUUAAUGCAUAACUCUGUUUUUCUCUCCUCCUUAAAUUCAUAUAUGGAAAUAGGAAGUUUAAGGAUCUUUGUUCUUGCUAAUAGGUUUAAUAAUAAUGACGUUUGAAUGAUCUUUGUUUCCAGGAAACUGAUUUUAAAGAAUGGUAGCUGGUGAUUCAGGAAGCAUGGUAGAAAUAUAGGUUUCAACGACUCAACUCCCGAAAGUUGAGCUUCCAAUCCAAGCUCUAUAACACUUAAGAAGAGGUUAUGAUCCGCAUUAUCUAAAAUUAUGACUAUACUGGAAGAGAUAGUGUAAUGCUCUUAAAGAGGCAAUGGAUAUCCAAAAGAAAUGAAAAUGUUUUAUGCA